CUUACCGGACCGACAGCAAUAUGAAGGCCAGGCUGAAGACUUUGCCGGAUUAGCUGAGAGGUGGUGCAUGGCCGUCGUCAGUUCGUACUGUGAAGCAUCCUGUUAAGUCAGGCAACGAGCGAGACCCACGCCCACAGUUGCCAGCGUACUCUCUGGAGUGACGGGUACACUGUGGGGACCGCCGCUGCUAAAGCGGAGGAAGGAAUGGGCAACGGUAGGUCAGUAUGCCCCGAAUAUCCCGGGCUACACGCGAGCUACAAUGGUUGGUACAAUGGGUAUCUACCCCGAAAGGGGACGGGAAUCUCCUAAAACCAAUCUUAGUUCGGAUUGAGGGCUGCAACUCGCCCUCAUGAAGCUGGAAUCCGUAGUAAUCGCGUUUCAACAGAACGCGGUGAAUACGUCCCUGCUCCUU
rnacentral:rRNA from 1 species